rnacentral:rRNA from 1 species
UAACAUAUGCUUGUCUCAAAGACUAAGCCAUGCAUGUCUAAGUUCAACAUUCUAUCGCAAAACUGCGUACAGCUCAUUACAGCAGCAAGAAUUUAUUUGAUGGUUUACUACUUGGAUAACCGUGGUAAUUCUAGAGCUAAUACAUGCUACGAAGUCCUGACUCUUAAUCUGGGAAGGGAUGUAUUUAUUAGAACCAAAAACCAACGGGUUGGCCCUUAAAGCCAGCCAGGACUUCGGUCCACAACUUUGGUGAAUCAUAGUAACUGAACGGAUCGCA